rfam:Myotis brandtii contig270915, whole genome shotgun sequence.
CAUGGGUGGGGUCCCUCAGCUCAGACUGCGAGAGGGUGCAGGCCAGGCCGAGGGUCCCCACCAGUGCACA